AGAGUUUGAUCAUGGCUCAGAUUGAACGCUGGCGGUAUGCUUAACACAUGCAAGUCGAACGGUAACAGGCCUUCGGGCGCUGACGAGUGGCGGACGGGUGAGUAACGCGUAAGAAUCUGCCUCAUAUGGGGGGACAAACGUGGGGGAAACUCACGCUAAUACCGCAUACGCCCUACGGGGGAAAGCGGGGGAUCUUCGGACCUCGCGCUAUGAGAUGAGCCUGCGUUAGAUUAGCUAGUUGGUAGGGUAAAGGCCUACCAAGGCGACGAUCCUAUAGCUGGGUCUGAGAGGACGAUCAGCCACACUGGGACUGAGACACGGCCCAGACUCCUACGGGAGGCAGCAGUGGGGAAUAUUGGACAAUGGGCGCAAGCCUGAUCCAGCAAUACCGCGUGUGUGAAGAAGGCCUUAGGGUUGUAAAGCACUUUCAAUUGGGAGGAAAACCUGCCGGUCAAUACCCGGUAGCUUGACAUUACCUUUAGAAGAAGCACCGGCUAACUCCGUG
rnacentral:rRNA from 1 species